rnacentral:rRNA from 1 species
AACGUAGGAGACAAACGUUAUCCGGAGUUACUGGGCGUAAAGGGCGUGUAGGUGGUUUUGUAAGUCUGGCGUGAAAUUUUUCGGCUUAACCGGGAAAGGUCGUCGGAUACUGCAGGACUAGAGGACGGUAGAGGCGUGUGGAAUUCCGGGUGUAGUGGUGAAAUGCGUAGAGAUCCGGAGGAACACCAGUGGCGAAGGCGACACGCUGGGCCGUACCUGACGCUAAAGCGCGACAGCAUGGGGAGCAAACGGG